UCUAGUAGGAAUUUAAUUUUGGUUCCGAUUGAACGUUUUUCAGUAGUUUUAAGACAUGCAAAUCGUUUGUACAUGGUUAGUCGAUAUUAACGUUAAUGUUAAUUAAAGUUAAAUAAAAAAUUUAAAUUUUACGAUUUAAGUGUACAAGGUGUAGGGGUGAGUAUUGUAAUUGAGAUGCCCUUGUAGACUUCAGAAAUAGAAGAUAGUUUUUUUCAUUAUAGAUAUCAAAAGGUAAAACUUUUAUUGAAUUAAUGAAACUUUCAAGGAUAACAAAGAUGUCCUAGAAAGGUAAAAAGAACAAAACAAAAGGUAAACUUUAAAGAAAGAAAGGGAAAUUUUCCGCAACAAGGAUUCAAUUUACAUUUGAUUAGGUAGUUGGAAGGGUAGAAGCCUCCCAAGCCGAUGAUCGAUAGUCAUGUUUGACAGAACAAAUGACCACAUUGGGAAUUAAAUCUCCCAAGUAGCGUUUUGCUACCAGCAGUCAAGAAUAUUAGUCAAUGCUCGCAAGAGUGAACUAGCUAACUGAAAUCCUUGGUGUGUCAUCGAGGAUAACGUAAGGGAAAAUAAUGAUACCACCUUACUAUUAGUGUCGUCCAAAUGCUCGUGCCAGAAGACUCGGUAAGGCGAGAGACGCAAACGUUAUUCGUCUUGAUCAGGCGUAAAGGGUUUGUAGGCGGCUUUAAGUAUCCAAUUUUAAGUUUACUAUUAUAAUGCUAUAAGUGUUAUAAUAUUUAUUAAAGGGUCAAUUAAAGCUAGAAUCUAACAGAGGUUAAAACAAUACUUAAGGUAGGUGUACUAACCAUAAAUAAUAAGCAGAGUGUUAAGGGCGAAGGCAUUUAUCCACUGAAGAUUGACGCUGAGAAACGAAGGUGAGGACAGAAAAAAGGAUUAGAGACCCUUGUAUCCCUCACUGUCAACGAUGAAUGGUAGUUACUAGGGAGAAAUAACCUAGAGACGAUGUUAACACGAAAACCAUUCCGCCUUGUGAGUACGACUGCAAAGUUGAAAACAAAAAAAUUAGUCGGUUUCGGAGCAAACGAAGUGAAGCAUGUUAUUUAAUGCGAUAAUCCGCGUAAAACCUUACCAGUUCUUGUAUAAAAACUUUUAGUUAAAUAAUUAACAUGUUUCCUUUUUCAAAGGUAAAAGGAGUUAUUUUGUUAUCUAUGCUAGAUAACAGGUACUUACUACAGGUGUUGCAUGGCUGUCUUCAGUCCGUAUUGUGAAAAGUUAGGUUAAAUCCGUUAACGGACGCAAUCCCUAUUGUUAAUUUAUACUUAACAAUUUAUGAUUCUGAUAAAGUAUCAUUUGGGGCUAAGACAAGCCCUUAUGGCCCUCAUGAACUGGGCUAUAGACGUGCUAUAAAGAUUUUCACAAAGUGACGCAAAACUUCUCUUACCCUCCUUUGUUAAGGAAAGGUAGUUUUUUAUUUUUAACAGUUUAAUUUAUUUUUUAAAUUAAAGAUACAGAAUUUAAUUUAGUAGGAUUUGUUUGUAUUUUUUCUCCUUGAUACUGCACAGGGCUCCGGUCUAGUCUGUAUCUUUUGAAGCUAGGGUGGAUGUUCCUACAGAUCUAAAUAAGUGCUUGCACUAGGAUAGUUCGUUAGAACUCAUUCGCCUUCGGCUUUCGGAGACAAACUGUUAUAAUAUUAUUAAUUCAAUUUUAUGAUUGAUUUAAAAUUAAAUAAAAACCUAAAGAGCAUAAGGAUGAGCUAAUCAUUAAAAAAAAUCAAAAUAAUAAAUUAACGUUACGGAUUGUUACCUGAAACUUGGUGGCAUGAAGGAGGAAUUUCGAGUAAUCGUUGAUCAUUAGGCGCAACGGUGAAGCACAAAUCCGGGAUGAACUAACCGUCUGUCGCUGGGAAGGAGCUUAUUUUGGUGGAAAAUAUAUCGAGGUUUUAAUUUUAUAGCUCUCACCUCACUUAAAAUGAGCAGAGCAGAAAAAGCUUUAUAUUUAAUAAUAUAAAUAUAAAAUAGUUUCAAUAUUAAUUAUUAUUAGAUCUAUUUAAGCCAUUUGAGUAACAUCUCAAAAGUCAUAGCAGGGUAGCUGUACUGGAAGGUGCAGCUGGAUAUUUAAUACA
rnacentral:rRNA from 1 species